UACGUAGGGGGCUAGCGUUGUCCGGAUUUAUUGGGCGUAAAGAGCGUGUAGGAGGCCAUGUAAGUCCGAUGUGAAAUCUUGCGGCUUAACCGCAAACCUGCAUUGGAAACUGCGUGGCUAGAGUCUGGAUGAGGAAGAUGGAAUUCCUGGUGUAGCGGUGAAAUGCGCAGAUAUCAGGAGGAACACCGGUGGCGAAGGCGGUCUUCUAGGACAGUACUGACGCUGAGACGCGAAAGCGUGGGGAGCAAACAGG
rnacentral:rRNA from 1 species